rnacentral:rRNA from 1 species
AGCAGCCGCCACGGUAAUACGUAGGUGGCAAGCGUUGUCCGGAAUUAUUGGGCGUAAAGCGCGCGCAGGCGGAUAGGUCAGUCUGUCUUAAAAGUUCGGGGCUUAACCCCGUGAUGGGAUGGAAACUGCCAAUCUAGAGUAUCGGAGAGGAAAGUGGAAUUCCUAGUGUAGCGGUGAAAUGCGUAGAUAUUAGGAAGAACACCAGUGGCGAAGGCGACUUUCUGGACGAAAACUGACGCUGAGGCGCGAAAGCCAGGGGAGCGAACGGGAUUAGAGACCCGCGUAGUCCCUGUCUCUUAUACA